GAUGAACGCUGGCGGCGUGCCUAAUACAUGCAAGUCGAACGAGGUGCUUUUGUAGCAAUACGAGAGUAUCCUAGUGGCGAACGGGUGAGUAACGCGUUGGUGACCUACCCCAAAGUGUGGGAUAACAGUCCGAAAGGAUUGCUAAUACCGCAUGUGGUCUUCGGAUUUAGAAACUGAUGACUAAAGGAGCAAUUCGCUUUGGGAGGGACCUGCGUCCCAUCAGCUAGUUGGUGAGGUAAUGGCUCACCAAGGCUACGACGGGUAGGGGACCUGAGAGGGUGACCCCCCACAAUGGAACUGAAACACGGUCCAUACACCUACGGGUGGCAGCAGUAGGGAAUAUUGCACAAUGGGCGAAAGCCUGAUGCAGCAAACGCCGCGUGUGGCGAUGAAGGCCUUCGGUCGUAAAGCACUUUCUGGAGAUGAGCAAGGACAGUAUCUCCAGGAAUAAGUACUCGGCUAACUACGUAGCCAGCAG
rnacentral:rRNA from 1 species